rnacentral:rRNA from 1 species
UACGUAGGGGGCAAGCGUUGUCCGGAAUCAUUGGGCGUAAAGAGCGCGUAGGCGGCUAGAUAAGUCCGGUGUGAAAGUCACAGGCUCAACCUGUGAAUGCCGCUGGAAACUGUCUGGCUAGAGUCCGGAAGGGGCGAGUGGAAUUCCUGGUGUAGCGGUGAAAUGCGCAGAUAUCAGGAAGAACACCCGUGGCGAAGGCGGCUCUCUGGGACGGUACUGACGCUGAGACGCGAAAGCGUGGGGAGCGAACAGG